rnacentral:misc_RNA from 1 species
CUCUUCUCUGUCGUCCCGCCACUCACAGCUCUCCCCGCACCGUGUUUACACCUCUUUCGCUCCAACAAACCGCCCCUUUAAGGAUGUCCUCUGAUUCCGCCGUUGCUGCCCUUUCCGCUGCCAUGACCUCGCCGCAGAAGUCUCCUCGCUCGUCGCCGAAGAAGACGGCUGCGAAGAAGGCCGCGGCGAAGAAGGCCGGGGCGAAGAAGGCCGGAGCAAAGAAGGCUGCGAAGAAGCCGGCGAAGAAGGCUGCGAAGAAGCCGGCGAAGAAGGUCGCGAAGAAGGCCGCGAAGAAGGUCGCGAAGAAGGUCGCGAAGAAGCCGGCGAAGAAGGCUGCGAAGAAGCCGGCGAAGAAGGCCGCGAAGAAGGCCGCGAAGAAGGCCGCGAAGAAGGCCGCGGCGAAGAAGUAAAGCGCGCCAUCAUGCUUGCCCGUGGCUGACUGUACGCUCUUCUGAGGCACACGUGCCCGAAGGCGCAUCAUAGAUCCAUCUCUUUGUUUUUCUUUUUGAGUUUUUUUUUUCCGGGCUCUCUCGUUUUAUUAUUAUUAUUGCAUUUUAUGUUUUUUUUUUGUCUUUUUUGAAUGUCCAGUCAUGCUUUGUCCUUACCUUCAGUGUCUACUUCGUCCGCAGUGCGGGUAACGGACUUUUCCGUGGCGAACGCGGGGCGUUCACCGCUCUGUGUGCCGGCACAUGCUCGUCGAUGUACUGCGGGCAUGCGACCUAGACCGUGAGGUCCCGGGGGUGGGGUAGAUAAAAUGGCGCAGUCG